rnacentral:rRNA from 1 species
UAACGCGUGAGUAACCUGCCCUGGAGUGGGGGACAACAGUUGGAAACGACUGCUAAUACCGCAUAAGCCCACGGAUCUGCAUGGAUCUGCGGGAAAAGGAUUUAUUCGCUUCAGGAUGGACUCGCGUCCAAUUAGCUAGUUGGUGAGGUAACGGCCCACCAAGGCGACGAUUGGUAGCCGGACUGAGAGGUUGAACGGCCACAUUGGGACUGAGACACGGCCCAGACUCCUACGGGAGGCAGCAGUGGGGGAUAUUGCACAAUGGGGGAAACCCUGAUGCAGCGACGCCGCGUGGAGGAAGAAGGUUUUCGGAUUGUAAACUCCUGUCGUUAGGGACGAUAAUGGCGGUACCUAACAAGAAAGCACCGGCUAACUACGUGCCAGCAGCCGCGGUAAAACGUAGGGUGCAAGCGUUGUCCGGAAUUACUGGGUGUAAAGGGAGCGCAGGCGGACCGGCAAGUUGGAAGUGAAAACUAUGGGCUCAACCCAUAAAUUGCUUUCAAAACUGCUGGCCUUGAGUAGUGCAGAGGUAGGUGGAAUUCCCGGUGUAGCGGUGGAAUGCGUAGAUAUCGGGAGGAACACCAGUGGCGAAGGCGACCUACUGGGCACCAACUGACGCUGAGGCUCGAAAGCAUGGGUAGCAAACAGGAUUAGAUACCCUGGUAGUCCAUGCCGUAAACGAUGAUUACUAGGUGU